CAUUAGCUAGUUGGUAAGGUAACGGCUUACCAAGGCGACGAUGCAUAGCCGAGUUGAGAGACUGAUCGGCCACAUUGGGACUGAGACACGGCCCAAACUCCUACGGGAGGCAGCAGUAGGGAAUCUUCCACAAUGGGCGAAAGCCUGAUGGAGCAACGCCGCGUGAGUGAAGAAGGUUUUCGGAUCGUAAAGCUCUGUUGUUGGUGAAGAAGGAUAGAGGUAGUAACUGGCCCCUAUUUGACGGUAAUCAACCAGAAAGUCACGGCUAACUACGUGCCAGCAGCCGCGGUAAUACGUAGGUGGCAAGCGUUGUCCGGAUUUAUUGGGCGUAAAGCGAGCGCAGGCGGAAAGAUAAGUCUGAUGUGAAAGCCCCCGGCUUAACCGAGGAAUUGCAUCGGAAACUGUGUUUCUUGAGUGCAGAAGAGGAGAGUGGAACUCCAUGUGUAGCGGUGGAAUGCGUAGAUAUAUGGAAGAACACCAGUGGCGAAGGCGGCUCUCUGGUCUGUAACUGACGCUGAGGCUCGAAAGUAUGGGUAGCGAACAGGAUUAGAUACCCUGGUAGUCCAUGCCGUAAACGAUGAGUGCUAAGUGUUGGGAGGUUUCCGCCUCUCA
rnacentral:rRNA from 1 species